UAUGACAAUCGCCAAUUGUGUGAACAGCACCUAAAGCUGCAGCUGACAGGCUGUGGGACGCUGCGUGGCGUGGGCUGCCAGCAGAGGGGGUCGUGGACCCACAGCAGCUGCAGAGAAGGCGAGACCGGUGUGUCACAGAACCGCCGUCAGGGAGUCGCAGCAGUGUGAAGCUAAUGCAGCUGGAUCUUGCCUAAUGACGCUGCGUUGUGGACGCCAACGUUUAGAAGGACGCAAUACGUUGCCGUGGAAACGGGCUCAUGUGGUCCUCAGACGUUCCCCAGGGGAGAAGUCCAGCUAAUGUGCCAGCCAAUAGGAGGCACAUCUGAGGAAUAAUGCUGUUAUUAUGUUAAUGAUCCUAAACAGCCUGCUUCAAAGGAGGUGGGUGUGGUGCGACAACCAGACCCUGGUGUAAACAACCCUCAUAUACAAUGUCACACACAAAGUACAGGGUUUUAUACUGGUUAUGGUUUGUCUGAAUUCAUCUAUCUCCAUGUUAAAUCCAUUUGAACCAGGUCAUAUACAACGAUGACAAUUUGAAUUCAACAUCAUAAACACCUUGUCUUUAUUGUGAACAUAAUUCUCAGAGGUCAGAUUAAUAAUUAGAUACUCAUGCACUUUGGCCUGAAUCAAUCAUUAUAUUAUAUUAUUAUGCACCUGGGCUUCUUUAAACAUGUUCACAUCUGUAAUGUUAUUAUUUAAGCUCAGAAUGUAAAUGCCAGUGCAUACUCU